rnacentral:rRNA from 1 species
CCUACGGGAGGCAGCAGUGGGGGAUAUUGCACAAUGGGGGAAACCCUGAUGCAGCGACGCCGCGUGGGUGAAGAAGUAUUUCGGUAUGUAAAGCCCUAUCAGCAGGGAAGAAAGAAGACGGUACCUGACUAAGAAGCCCCGGCUAACUACGUGCCAGCAGCCGCGGUAAUACGUAGGGGGCGAGCGUUAUCCGGAUUCACUGGGUGUAAAGGGAGCGUAGACGGCCGUGCAAGCCAGGAGUGAAAGCCCGGGGCCCAACCCCGGGACUGCUCUUGGAACUGUGCGGCUGGAGUGCGGGAGGGGCAGGCGGAAGUCCUGGUGUAGCGGUGAAAUGCGUAGAUAUCAGGAGGAACACCGGCGGCGAAGGCGGCCUGCUGGACCGCGACUGACGUUGAGGCUCGAAAGCGUGGGGAGCGAACAGGAUUAGAUACCCUUGUAGUC